rnacentral:rRNA from 1 species
GGAGGGAUACCCGCUGAACUUAAGCAUA